CUUUGGAUGUUCUAGGAUGAACCAAGAAAAAUAUGCAUUUGCUACAACUUCCGAGCCUUGGUCAUAAGCAACUUGUAAACCAAAUUUCAUUCAAAUCCGUAAAAUAACUUUUAGCGUGAUUGAGUGACAAAUAUCCAAACACACAAACUUUCACAUUUCUAAUAUUGGUAUGAUUUAAGACCUGUAUGUUAUUAUUUAGUCAAAACCAUAUAAUAUAACCUUGAUAAAAAUAAUAUUCCUAUAACGCUAACUUUUCGACCGUUGUCCCGGAAACCUACACAUGUACAUCGUACACAACGAGUCAAUAAAACAUUCGUAAUUUUUAAUUAAGUAAACACCUCGUGGAGCCUGAAAAUAUACUGAUUACAUAAUUACAUCAUGAGUGUAUCAUGUGCAACGCAGAGCGGGAUGGCUAUAAUAUAAUACAAUCGAACGUGUCCUGACUGACUCACUGAUAUUGCUCAACAUAGAACCCAGAUAAUGAUAGUUCGAGGCGAAGCCGGAAUAAACUACUUAUGAGCUGUGAGGAAUUUUGUGUUGAAUUUUCAAGUUUUUUACCUUAAAUAUUUCAUUCGGAAACGUAAUUUAUAAUGCAUGAAUCGUUAUUGCUCUGUCUCCAUUCAGCGAGAAACACCAGCUGUGGCCAUGUCGUUUAAACUUUAAAAGUUGUGAGUCACGGGUCGGUAAUAAACUACAUGAAAUAUGUGUGUCAGCGGUGUAUGAUUACGAAAAGGAAAAAAACACUUCCGUCUUCAUACACGACCCACUCAGAAUGCAUCCAGUACGUAAACGAACUCAGCAGCCUCAACCUCCCUAACGACCUAGAGGUGUACUAGACGUGAAAAACCAUCACACAAGUAUUAAAAUUGUUAUACAAAACUAAAUUAUAUAACUUAAUUUAAUGCAAAAAAAAAAAAU